rnacentral:rRNA from 1 species
ACUUGGAUAACCGUAGUAAUUCUAAAGCUAAUACAUGCGUAAAGGCCCGACUUCUGAAAGGGUGUAUUUAUUAUAUAUAAACCUCCUCCCUUUUGGGAUAUUUUGGGGAGAUAUAAUAACUUAUCGGAUCGCAAAGGCCUUGUGCCGGCGAUGAAUCAUUCAAGUUUCUGCCCUAUCAGCUUUCGAUGGUAGGGUAUUGGACUACCAUGGCGGUAACGGGUAACGAAGAAUAAGGGUUCGAUUCCGGAAAGGGAGCCUGAAAAACGGCUACCACAUCCAAGGAAGGCAGCAGGCGCGUAAAUUACCCAAUCCUGACACAGGGAGGUAGGGACAAUAAAUAACAAUGCGGACCUCUUUCACUUUUGCGAUUGGAAUGAAAACAAUUUAAAUCCCUUAUCCAGGAUUAAUU